CCUACGGGUGGCAGCAGUGAGGAAUAUUGGUCAAUGGGCUUACGCCUGAACCAGCCAAGUCGCGUGAGGGAAGACUUCUCUAUGGGUUGUAAACCUCUUUUGUCAGGGAGCAACGCCGGCUACGUGUAGCCUGACUGAGAGUACCUGAAGAAAAAGCAUCGGCAAACUCCGUGCCAGCAGCCGCGGUAAUAGGGGGGAUGCGAGCGUUAUCCGGAUUUAUUGGGUUUAAAGGGUGCGUAGGCGGAAUGCCAAGUCAGCGGGAAAAUCGCGGGGCUCAACCUCGCUCCGCCGUUGAAACUGGCGGUCUUGAGUGGGCGAGAAGUAUGCGGAAUGCGUGGUGUAGCGGUGAAAUGCAUAGAUAUCACGCAGAACUCCGAUUGCGAAGGCAGCAUACCGGCGCCCAACUGACGCUGAAGCACGAAAGCGUGGGUAGCGAACAGGAUUAGAUACCCGUGUAGUC
rnacentral:rRNA from 1 species